GCCAGCAGCAUGCCACCCUGCAUCCCUGCUGGCUUGCUUCUGAAGCUAAGCAGGGUUGGUCCUGGAUGGGAGACCAGAUGCUGCUGGAA
rnacentral:rRNA from 1 species